GAUGAACGCUGGCGGCGUGCCUAAUACAUGCAAGUCGAGCGAACAGACGAGGAGCUUGCUCCUCUGACGUUAGCGGCGGACGUGUGAGUAACACGUGGAUCACCUACCUAUAAGACUGGGAUCACUUCGGGAAACUGGCGCUAAUACCGGAAAAUAUAUUGAACCGCAUGGUUCAAUAGUGAAAGACGGUUUUGCCGUCACUUAUAGCUGCAUCCGCGUGUCAUUAGCUAGUUGGUAAGGUAACGGCCUACCAAGGCAACGAUGAGUAGCCGACCGGGGAGGUGGAUCGGCCACACGGGAACGGAGACACGUGCCAGACUCCUACGGGAGGCAGCAGAAGGGAAUCUUCCGCAAUGGGGGAAGGCCUGACGGAGCAAGGCGGCGGGGGUUAGGAAGGUCUCCGGACCGAAAGACCCGGUUAUUAGGAAAGAACAAAUGUAUAGUGGAAUGUGCACGCCGUGACGGUACCUAAUCAGAAAGGCACGGCUAACUACGUG
rnacentral:rRNA from 1 species